rnacentral:rRNA from 1 species
UACGGGGGGGCAAGCGUUGUUCGGAAUUACUGGGCGUAAAGGGCUCGUAGGCGGCCAACUAAGUCAGACGUGAAAUCCCUCGGCUUAACCGGGGAACUGCGUCUGAUACUGGAUGGCUUGAGAUUGGGAGAGGGAUGCGGAAUUCCAGGUGUAGCGGUGAAAUGCGUAGAUAUCUGGAGGAACACCGGUGGCGAAGGCGGCAUCCUGGACCAACACUGACGCUGAGUGAGCGAAAGCCAGGGAGCAAACGGG